rnacentral:rRNA from 1 species
AUUGAACGCUGGCGGCAGGCCUAACACAUGCAAGUCGAGCGGAGCGGCGGACGGGGGAGUAAUGGUUAGGAAUCUGCCAGGUAGUGGGGGAUAACGUCCGGAAACGGGCGCUAAUACCGCAUACUAUCAGACGAGACUAGGUCGGAUUAGCUAGUUGGUGGGGUAAAGGCCUACCAGGGCGACGAUCCGUAACUGGUCUGAGAGGAUGAUCAGUCACACUGGACGUGCGACACGGUCCAGACUCCUACGGGCGGCAGCAGUGGGGAAUAUUGGACAAUGGGCGAAAGCCUGAUGCAGCCAUGCCGCGUGUGUGAGGAGGGUCUUCGGAUUGUAAAGUACUUUAAGUUGGGAGGCGUUACCCGCAGAAUAAGCACCGGCUAACUUCGUGCCAGCAGCCGCGGUAAUAC